rnacentral:rRNA from 1 species
GACGAACGCUGGCGGCGUGCUUAACACAUGCAAGUCGAACGGAAAGGCCCUGCCUUUGUGGGGUGCUGGAGUGGCGGAGGGGUGAGUAACACGUGGGUACCCUGUCCUUGACUUUGGGAUAACUUCAGGAAGCUGGGGCUAAUACCGGAUAGGAGCUACUGCUGCAUGGUGGGGGUUGGAACGUUUCGGCGGUUGGGGAUGGACUAGCGGCUUAUCAGCUUGUUGGUGGGGUAGUGGAUUACCAAGGCUUUGUCGGGUAGCAGGCCUGAGCGGGUGACCGGCCACACUGGGACUGAGAUACGGCCCAGACUCCUACGGGACGCAACAGUGGGGAAUAUUGCACAAUGGGCGGAAGCCUAAUGCAGCAACGCCGCGUGCGGGAUGACGGCCUUCCGGUUGUAAACCGCUUUCGCCUGUGACGAAGCGUGAGUGACGGUAAUGGGUAAAGAAGCACCGGCUAACUACGUG